rnacentral:misc_RNA from 1 species
AAAUGCGAUAAGUAGUGUGAAUUGCAGAAUUCAGUGAAUCAUCGAAUCUUUGAACGCACAUUGCGCCCCUUGGUAUUCCAUGGGGCAUGCCUGUUCGAGCGUCAUUUGUACCCUCAAGCUCUGCUUGGUGUUGGGUGUUUGUCCCGUCUCCGCGCGUGGACUCGCCCCAAAGUGAUUGGCAGCCGGCGUACUGGUCCCGGAGCGCAGCACAUGUCGCGCAAACGAGUGCCUUGGUACGGCGGCGUCCAUAAGCCCCUCUCUCACGCUCUUGACCUCGGAUCAGGUAGGGAUAACCGCUGAACUUGAGC